rfam:Ascoidea rubescens DSM 1968 unplaced genomic scaffold ASCRTscaffold_4, whole genome shotgun sequence.
UUCCUCAUGGCCCAAUGGUUACGGCGUUCGGCUACGAACUCAACAAGGAACCGAGAGAUUCCAGGCUCGAGUCCUGGUGGAGAAG